AAUGGCGUCCCCGGUGAGUUAAUGGAGUUUUCAGUGCUGGCGCUAAAACUAUCGCUCUUUAAGAGACUUCUUAUCAUCAUUAUAUCAGUGUAAAGAUUAGAGAAACGCCUGACGAUGAGCACGACGUUGUUUUCAUGGUCGGAAAAAAUGCUGCAGCUUCUCCGCCGGAUGAACAGCUUUUAUUUAGCAGGUUCUAGUCUAGAGAAAUGUCUCCGGUUCGAGGUAGCAGGUCAGCAGGUGGGCUGGGUCCGGCCGGGCGUGGCCUCAGUGCUGCAGCGUUACCCGGAGGUAUUCUGUACAGUAGGGGGCGCUUUAGAGCUCUGCCCCACGCUGGACUCGUAUGAGCGCAGGACACGAGCGGUGGAGAUCGUGCUGCAGGCACUCAGAGAGGAGGCGGAGUUUACGUGUCUAAAGGGGUGGAGAAAUGAGAAGUAUGCGGUGAUGCCGAGGUUCUGCGACCCUCCGCUGAUGCACAUGGAGAGAGCAGCGACAACUACACGUAUGAGGAUGACGAGGGCGUGUUCCCCGAGUGCCAGUUCGUCUAUGAUUUGGAGCUCUCGAGCGAUUUCAAGCCUCAGAUCGGAGACGGAGAAGUGCAGGAGUUUUAUUUCUACCCCAUCGAUAAGGUUCUCCACUAGAUGUUGGAUUGUGUCUGUGGGGAUUAGUCAUCAUUCAGCUACAAGAGCAUUAGUGAGAUCAGACUCUGAUGUCGGGAUGUUGAAGGAGACUCCAGUUCCAGUUCAUCCCAGUGGGGUUGAGUCAGAGUCAGGGCUCUGUGCAGGACACUCCAGAUCUUCCACUUUCUCCAAUCUUCACCUCCUCACCCUGUCUUCAUGGAGCUCAGGGGCUUUGUGGUCAUGUUGGAACAGGGUUUGGGAAUCUUAAGUCCAGUGAAGGGAAAUUAUGAGAUAUUCUAUACAGCUGUGUGCUUCAGACUUUGAUGGCCAGGGAUGCACAUACUUUUGGCCAUAUAGUGUACAUACCACAUGUUAUGUAUGAUAGGAACCGUAACAUAUCAGAACAAGUACAUUAAUUAGGAAUAAAGCUGUACAGUCAGAGCUGCUUUCUGAUUGGUCACUUUCUGACCAAUCAGAAGCAGUCAAGACUGAAACCUGUGCUUCAUUACCCAGCUCACACAGUGCUUAUAUGAGGACAGUGUGUGUGUGUGUGUGUGUGUGUGUAGGUGAAGGAACUGAUCGUAAGUGAGGAGUUUAAGCCGAAUUGCGCCAUGGUGGUGCUGGAUUUCCUCAUCAGACACUCUGUCAUAGAACCCGACUCAGAGUCGUAUUAUCAGGAGUUUGUCGCCGGGCUGCACCGAUCCUUAUAGAAAAC